UUGAGCCGUAUGAGUCAGGAAACUCUCAAGUACGGUUCUAAGGGAAGGAAUUUACUCACAUAUUCCGACCGCGGAGAACAGGCCAUUCGACAGGGAGAUUCUGAAAUUGCGGAAUCUUGGUUUGAUCAAGCCGCUGAAUAUUGGAAACAAGCUAUAGCCCUUACCCCUGG
rfam:Medicago truncatula strain A17 chromosome 6, whole genome shotgun sequence.